rnacentral:rRNA from 1 species
UACCAGCACCCCGAGUGGUCGGGACGAUUAUUGGGCCUAAAGCAUCCGUAGCCGGUCCUGCAAGUCUUCCGUUAAAUCCAGCUGCUCAACAGAUGGGCUGCGGAGGAUACUAUAAGACUAGGAGGCAGGAGAGGCAAGCGGUACUCAGUGGGUAGGGGUAAAAUCCGUUGAUCCAUUGAAGACCACCAGUGGCGAAGGCGGCUUGCCAGAAUGCGCUCGACGGUGAGGGAUGAAAGCUGGGGGAGCAAACCGG